UGGGGGAUAUUGCACAAUGGGCGAAAGCCUGAUGCAGCGACGCCGCGUGGGGGAUGAAGGCCUUCGGGUUGUAAACUUCUUUUGCUCUGAACAAGGCAUGCUAAUGGGUGUGUUGAGUGUAGGGGUUGAUUAGCGCCGGCUAACUACGUGCCAGCAGCCGCGGUAAUACGUAGGGCGCUAGCGUUGUCCGGAAUUAUUGGGCGUAAAGGGCUUGUAGGUGGCUGGUUGCGUCUGUCGUGAAAGCUCAUGGCUUAACUGUGGGUUUGCGGUGGGUACGGGCUGGCUUGAGCGCAGUAGGGGAGGCUGGAAUUCCUGGUGUAGCGGUGGAAUGCGCAGAUAUCAGGAGGAAUACCGGUGGCGAAGGCGGGUCUCUGGGCUGUUACUGACACUGAGGAGCGAAAGCAUGGGGAGCGAACAGG
rnacentral:rRNA from 1 species